UCAGACAGUACUCGAAAUAUAAGAGGCCUAUUUGUGCGUCACACACAAUUUGAUCAAGACGUGCGUGCCACCGCCCGCUUCACCGCUGGCGAUGGGGUCGUGCCCGCGGUCUUAGUUCGAUUAAAAAAUAUCUAAGUUCAUAUCCUAUUCUCUAUAUUGUCUGUGUCUCAUAUAUCCCACCACUAGUCACUAGUAUCCUAUCCUUCCUUUCUCUUUCUCUGCGCGCGCAGAUUUGGAUUCGAGCUGCUGUGAUUGAGAAAAGAAAAUGAAAAUAUUUUUGUAAAGGAUUUGAGUGGCUUGAAUUACUGUCCAAGGCUCUUAUAUUAUCCGUCUUCCGCCUCUUGAAAUGCACUAAGGCUGUGAGUGGUAUAAAGUUGGUUCCUGAGUAUUAAUUGAUUUGCACCGUGCAAUAGGACCGUCAAUUUAAGUAAAAAAGACGUAAAUAUUGAACUCUCAACUGGUUUCUAAUAGCAGCAAAAUUGGUGGUAAACGAGUAUCUUUGGCAUGAGAUAAACCUGUUAAAUGGAUAUUCUGCUACUGCUGACUUUUGGAGUAUUGUUGGCGAUGGUCAUAUUUAGCUGUCUAGCGUGUGCCUGGAUGAAGUUCAGUGACUACAAAAUGAAGCACUACAUCAUACAGUUGGCAAAUACUAAAGGAGUUGAGGUGGAUCUUGAGAAAAUUGACAAGAACCGGAAACAGUCUCCGCUCUCCAAUGAAAACUGUGCAAUAUUCGUACCGGAUGUGGGCAUUAUAAUUUAGUUCUGUGAGUAUACCAUUAUAGGUUCUCUUUGCUUCUUCUUAUGGGAAGGAAUGGAUAUGACUAGUGGGUUUCCACCGGUCUCCUUUGAAUUGUAGAAGGCAUUCGUGGCAGUACCUGUCAUAUAAUAUGACAAGACAGGUAGAUGGCAGAUGGUAUUAAACAAAAAUAUGAAAUAAACUAUGUGAAUCCUUUCUUAUGGUUAUUUAACUAUACAUAUUUUUUUAGUAUUACAUGCAAUAUACAAAAAUGCAAUACAAGUACCUAACUAGUACCUAAACGGUUUGGGAUUCAUUUGAGCUCAUGUAAGAUAUUUUGUCAAGAGUAUUGAAGUUAUUUCCAUUUAAUUACAAUUACCUACCUACUUACAUAUUUUUUGUAAAAGUUAUACUUACAUGUACCUAACUAUUAAGUAGGUAUCUAUUAUUUUUGUUUUGAUGAUUGCAUUUACAAUGACUAUGGGAAGUUAAAUUUAUCCCAAUAAGACUGGAUUUUUAUUAUACCAAAUUGUUAAACUGGUACUUAUUAUACCUGAGUAUAUCUAACUUAUGUAUAAAAUGUCAAUGUCAAUUCUUGCAAAAAAACAAUAGACUAAUUAAUUAUUUUACGUUCAGUAUACUUGAGAAGGUAUAUCUAUGAUUACUAUUUGAUAGCCAUUUCUAUCUAGCAUUGUCGAUUUCUGUUGUAACAAAUAUUUGAA